GAGAGAGAACCGAAACAAGUGCCUGGUAAAUGCCCGAAAGAGCUAGUGGCUGACAGUGGCACUUGACCAUUCAGAUGUUUUUCUGUUAUUAUUGAGGAUUUAAAACCCACUCAAGGAGAAUGGGUUUUGUGUUUUUUGUUCUGUUUUUGUUGUGUUUGCUUCAUGAGA
rnacentral:lncRNA from 1 species